GCUGUACCUACUGUCCAACAAGUCCCAGUGAGAUGAACCAGGUACCUGAAUUGGAAAUGCAGAAAUCACCUGUCUUCUGUGUCAAUCACGCUGGGAGCUGCAUACUGGAGCUGUUCCUAUCUGGCCAUCUUGGAAUGGACUUCCUCUGGGGGCUAAAGUCCUAUAUGUGGAAUUUUUGGAUCCAAAAAUCCCGGGAUCUUGAACAAGUCACCAGAGCUCUCUGGGCCUCGAUUUCCUCGUUGUUGGUUGAUCUCAGCUGGUAAAGUCGCCAAAUGUGGCCAUGGGUGUGAAAGAUCCUGGAGACCCUCUCACUCCUCAAUUCCCUGCCCGGACACCCCCACGCAUCCUGGAAAUGGCAGCUGAAACCUACCUUCUCUUCCUGGAGGGCCCAAGCAGACCUCUGCCAAAGCUCCCCUGGCUUUAGACAGCUCCCACGGAAAUGAAAGCCUCUCAUCCGUGUGUUCUUGUAUCUCUGAGCCCGCAAGCCCUGGCACAGGACUGGCAGCUCACAGGUAAAUACAUGUUGAAUAUGGAAUGUAAACUCUUUCUAGCCUAAUCUGGACUGGCAAAUUCGCCCACUCCUUCUCCUUUCUCUUCUGAAGACACUUCCUUCCUAUGCCUGGUGCUCAGGACUGGGAUUCGCUCCGCAGGUGCUGGGCAGGCCUGUGUUUAGAUUUCCCCUUCCUCCUAACCUGCAAGGACCUUUGUAAAGCACUGGCCCAUGGGAACACAGAGGACUGGUUACGGCUUUGCAGCUGAGGCCCAGGAUUCAAGACAUCUUGACAUCGCUGCUCACUGGCUGUGGCCGGGGUAACUCACUGAAAUCCUCUGAGCUCCAGUAUAUGCAUCUAGAAAACAGGGAUGCUAAUGAUUUUAUGGCUAUUGUUAACUGUCUGUUUUGAGCAGUUCUUGUGUGCUGGGUAUGAAAACCAUCACCACCACCACCAUUAUCACAGUGCUGGGGCUGCCAGUUCUUGAGAGUUUGUUAUGGUCCUGGCAGAGUUGACUUUAUGAAGAAUAGCUCAUUAACCCACACAAACUCCCCCAAGACCCCCUUUCUUGUUUUAGGGUGCCUACCUGCCUGCUUUGCUGGUUGCUGUGAGGAGCAAAGGAAAUGACGUGUGUGUGUGUGUGUGUGUGUGUGUGUGUGUGUGUGUGUGAGUGAGAGAGAGAAGGUAAAGGGGUGGGAAGUGGGGAGAUAGGCAUGAGGGGUCUGGAUGGGCCCUCCUACCUUGUUUUAGGAGAAGCAGCUCAAGUAAGAGAAAACUGUUUGGAUUCUGGAGUUGAAGAGAGCAAGGUUUGAAUCCCAGCUCUGCCACUUUCUACUGUGAAGUUUUGAGCCAGACACUUAGGCACUUUGAGCCUCAGUUUCCCUAUAUGCAAAAUGGGCUAAGAUUCCCCACCUUGAAGAUGAACGAGAUGAGGACAAUUACAAAGCAGUCAGCAGAAGGCAGGAAGCACAUCAGAUGCACUACACUAAGCCACUUGUAAAGUGGUUAGCGGGUAACCUAGUUCAUAGGACAUACUCAGAAAUGAAACUCACUUUCUGUGCUUUUGUUUUUAUUUGGUCAUCAUCAAAUGGCUUUUGAGGAUAGGUAAAGAGGAUUACGGUCAUCCAGAGGAGAAACUGAGGCUCAGCAAUGUCAAGUGACUUGCCCAAGGCCACACAGUGAGCAAAUCACCAGGUAGAUCGUGACUCCAGGCUUGUCUGACACUGGGUCCUGCCCACCUCCAGUCUUGCUGACUUUCCUGACCCAGCCACCUGCCUCCCUGACAUCUUUGUGCCUGCCUCUGGGCCUGAGGCAGUGGCUGGGAGCCUGUGGUGUCUGGUGGCUAGCCUGGAUCCUCUGUCCUUGCCUGGCCCUCUGCACCCCAUGCCCCCCAUCACCAGCUCCCCCGACUCUGCUCCUCGGCCGAGGGGCACACUGCAGUGAAUCAGCCUCCUUUGUGGUGUUGAUUAGAGGCCUCCUCCUACAAACAUCAAAGCUUCAAUUAACAUGGGCCGCUUGCAACCCUCUUGCAAAACUCUGAUAAGAAUAGAAUUUUCUCUUGGAAAAUGGAUUUUUAUUUAGUUGUGUGUACUGUUGGUUAAAUGACCUACUCUAUACACUGGCGCUGAGAUUCUGGGGACAGUGAGGGGGCUCGUCAGGAGCUGGUUAUCUGAAGGAAACAGGCGCUGGGCUGUUUAGCUGUCUAAUAUCCUGACGGGCGGGGGGCAGAGGCAAAUUGAAAAAAAAAAGCCUUCACUCCUUCUCUAGACAUGGGGAGUGGAGGGUGGUGUGCUGAGUAGGGGCUUUGCGGGGCAGGAAGGUGGCCCCUGCUCUCCUGGGAGUGUGGCUGGGUUGGUGGGCUCCAGCCUUGCUCUGCUGGGUGUGAGUGUGUGUGUGUGUGUAUGAGCGUGUGUGUGUGUAUAUGUAGGGUGUGCAGCAGUCUCAGAUGCUGCUCAGAGCAUAUGCUGGCCUCAAAGAGGACCCAGGGAGCUGGCUGCCUGGGUGUAGAGGGGGCACGAUUCAAGAACACAGCAAAGCUGGGCGCACCUGAGCUGGAGGCAUGGGAGGCUAAGGCUGGUAGGCCCCUGACUUUUUUCAUAAUCACUCCUCUUAUUAAACUUGGCCUUCUUCUAGAGUGGGAUGGAUUAAUGUUCAGAAAAUGCUGUCUCCUCAAUCUCAUUGCUUCUAGUGGAGGAAAAGAAGCACUCUUCCCCUGUCCAGGAUCCCUGAGAGGCCACUGACUUAGGCCCCCAUCAGUCUGCAAUCUUCUUGGUUCCAAAGACCCUUCCAAAAAGGGAAGCCCUCAAUUCCUUCCAACUCCCCUUCAGCUUCCAUUCACCGACAGAAAAAUUCUUCCUAUUGUCUAACCAUAUUUCCCCAGCUGCACUUUAAGUCUGUCCUGAAUGAAGACACAUUGGACAGAGUGAGAAACUUAGGGUUAGGGGAGUGGCCUGCUUGGGAGAGGGAGAGUUUGGGGUGGGCACGAGGGUGGACAGCUGGCUGGGGAAGGCAGAGUGCAGAAGAGCUGGUCGGCAAACUGCUCUUCUUCCUUGAGUUGGGGAAGUCUGGUGUAGCAUGACUGUAUUGAUUCAAUUAUUCCCUACAAUGUAAUACUCUGCAUCUGUGUGAUAGCAACAAACAGAGUUGAAAGACAUACAAAAAUAAAUGAUCU
rnacentral:lncRNA from 10 species